rnacentral:rRNA from 1 species
UGCAAGUCGAACGGGGUGCUCAUGACGGAGGAUUCGUCCAACGGAUUGAGUUACCUAGUGGCGGACGGGUGAGUAACGCGUGAGGAACCUGCCUUGGAGAGGGGAAUAACACUCCGAAAGGAGUGCUAAUACCGCAUGAUGCAGUUGGGUCGCAUGGCUCUGACUGCCAAAGAUUUAUCGCUCUGAGAUGGCCUCGCGUCUGAUUAGCUAGUAGGCGGGGUAACGGCCCACCUAGGCGACGAUCAGUAGCCGGACUGAGAGGUUGACCGGCCACAUUGGGACUGAGACACGGCCCAGACUCCUACGGGAGGCAGCAGUGGGGAAUAUUGGGCAAUGGGCGCAAGCCUGACCCAGCAACGCCGCGUGAAGGAAGAAGGCUUUCGGGUUGUAAACUUCUUUUGUCGGGGACGAAACAAAUGACGGUACCCGACGAAUAAGCCACGGCUAACU